CAGCCUGUAAUAGACAUUAUAUGCUUAAAAUACAUGUACGUCCAAAUUUUAGAAAACGGAUUAACCUACAAUAAGACACUUUUUUUUUCAAAAAUUGUGAGAGAGUUUGCUAUAUAAAGUCCACAUUUCUCAUGCGCAUUCAUACACUGAAUAUUAUCAAGACAAGUCACAGUCAGGAAAUUACAUAAAGAUGUCAAGUCAGCAGAAAGGUGGUAGUUACACCGGUCCUGAAAUGAAGGGGAAUAUGGAUAACCGGAGCAACCAGUGUAAUCCAAAUAAUCAAACUUACCAGGGACAUACUUCUUCUGGAUAUGGCGGUACAGGGACGAGAGCUGAUCUUGGCAACCAUUCCAAUCAGCUCAAUCCAAACAACUCAAGAUAUCAGGCUCCGAAAAAGUGAUGUUUUAACAUUAUGUGAAGAUAAAGACUGUUGAAUGUCCAUAAAAAUAUAAAUAAAGAAAAUUAAUUUUGAGAAAA